rfam:Schistosoma mansoni strain Puerto Rico chromosome 5, complete genome
AUCCAACUGACGAGUCCCAAACAGGACGGAACGCAAGUCCUGGAU